AGUGCUUGCACUAAAUGAAACUAGAUACAAGCGAGCGGCGGACGGGUGAGUAACACGUGGGUAACCUGCCCAAGAGACUGGGAUAACACCUGGAAACAGAUGCUAAUACCGGAUAACAACACUAGACGCAUGUCUAGAGUUUGAAAGAUGGUUCUGCUAUCACUCUUGGAUGGACCUGCGGUGCAUUAGCUAGUUGGUAAGGUAACGGCUUACCAAGGCAAUGAUGCAUAGCCGAGUUGAGAGACUGAUCGGCCACAUUGGGACUGAGACACGGCCCAAACUCCUACGGGAGGCAGCAGUAGGGAAUCUUCCACAAUGGACGAAAGUCUGAUGGAGCAACGCCGCGUGAGUGAAGAAGGGUUUCGGCUCGUAAAGCUCUGUUGGUAGUGAAGAAAGAUAGAGGUAGUAACUGGCCUUUAUUUGACGGUAAUUACUUAGAAAGUCACGGCUAACUACGUGCCAGCAGCCGCGGUAAUACGUAGGUGGCAAGCGUUGUCCGGAUUUAUUGGGCGUAAAGCGAGUGCAGGCGGUUCAAUAAGUCUGAUGUGAAAGCCUUCGGCUCAACCGGAGAAUUGCAUCAGAAACUGUUGAACUUGAGUGCAGGAGAGGAGAGUGGAACUCCAUGUGUAGCGGUGGAAUGCGUAGAUAUAUGGAAGAACACCAGUGGCGAAGGCGGCUCUCUGGUCUGCAACUGACGCUGAGGCUCGAAAGCAUGGGUAGCGAACAGGAUUAGAUACCCUGGUAGUCCAUGCCGUAAACGAUGAGUGCUAAGUGUUGGGAGGUUUCCGCCUCUCAGUGCUGCAGCUAACGCAUUAAGCACUCCGCCUGGGGAGUACGACCGCAAGGUU
rnacentral:rRNA from 1 species